rnacentral:rRNA from 1 species
CACGGGGGGAGCAAGCGUUGUUCGGAAUCACUGGGCGUAAAGGGCGUGUAGGCGGUCAGGUAAGUGAGAUGUGAAAUGCCCCGGCUCACCCGGGGACCGGCAUCUCAUACUGCUUGGCUUGAGUACGGGAGAGGAUGUGGGAAUUCCUGGUGUAGCGGUGAAAUGCGUAGAUAUCAGGAGGAACACCGGUGGCGAAGGCGGGUCUCUGGGCAGUAACUGACGCUGAGGAGCGAAAGCGUGGGGAGCGAACAGG